UUCCGACCAAAAGGUCGGAACUUGUAGUGGGAAGUUUCUAUAAAACUUCACCCACGACAGUUUGCCCUUGCCCUGAGCCAUCCCUUUCUUCGCAGCUGAGCCAUCCCUUUCUUCGUAGCAGUCCCUCUCUUCGCCGCAGGCCUUAAGUUUCUCAACCUCGCUCGGCCCACCGAAGCUCAACCCUGCAACUUCUUUCCUCCUCACCUCUUGUCGCUCUGGCCAUCCAGGACCCUAGCUCUAUAUAGAGGAUACCAGAAUCAUGAGAAGAGAACAUGAGAAAAAAGGGGAUUGUAAUGAGAUGUUUUUCGAGGAAAGAGCAGAAUCUCCUUUGGCUGUCGUGAUUGUGCCCCAAAGCGUUCAAAGCUGAUGCAUAAGCAAGAGGACCAAUAACUAGGAGACGUGAUUGCGAGAAAUGAUGCACAAUGGGCGAGUAGAAGCACAAAAUUGGGAAGGACGGGUGAAAUGGGGGCCGCGCCAAAUGAGGAAAGAGUGAUAAUGGAGAUGGUUUAAAUUUAUGAGGAUGGUGGGUGAGAGCUCAUGAAAGAGUGAGGGCUCAUGAGAGAGUGAGAGUUUGAAAGAGCGAGAGAAAAGGGUCGGCACUGGCAGUGUUUAUUGCCAGCCCGACGAAGAGAAAGAGAAUGAGAGAUGACACGCCAGGCACGGUCAGCAUUUACCACCAGCCUGAAAGAGAGGGAGAAGAGUAGAGGGCCAGGGGCUGGCAGCAUUUACUGCCAGCCCAAAAUAGAGGGAAAGAGAAGAGGGCUGCCAGUCCAAAAUAGAGGGAAAGAGAAGAGGGCAUGGGGUCAUUGGCAUUUGCGACCAAGCCCCAAAAGAGAGAGAUGGUGCCGAUAGUAAUACCAAUGGCUUGGGGCAACCGGCAUUAUUACCACCGGUCGCCACCCUAGAGAGAGACCUGAGCCCGUCAUCUGCCAGCACUUGUCAUUUUUGCACGAAUGUCAUGGCUGGUGCCACCAUCAUCGGCUCAACCCGGGUUUACAAAUGAGCCGAGCCAUAGUCAUAUUUGAGCUCCUUUGGGUCUCAAAAUGUCCAGUUUUCUUCUUAAAUUCCAAGAAGACCCUUGUGGAUAAAUUUUACCCGCUAUUUGAGGAAACAUUCCAAAUUUAACGAGGACAUUAGUGGUCCAAGAUA